ensembl:lncRNA
UGAAACUUUGGAAUUUCUUGGUUAAUUGUAGGUCACAUGAGAGAAGGGCUUGGAUUUGACACCCUGGGCAUGAUUCCUUCAAGUUCCUAACUGGAAUCUAGGGGCCAGGAAGAAGCUUGCCCAAAUGCAAGAAGAGUUCCCCCGGCACAGGACAGAAGUCUUCAUGAGGACAGGCAGAGAUCCCUGUAAAACUGCCUGUAUCUGCGUGAUGUUGCUAAUUUACCAAAGCCCAGGAAAAAGAGCUGUGAUGGCUGCAGUGAUGAGCCCGAGGAAUGUUGCUGGCAUUGAGAGCUCUCCGCUGUGUCACACAUUCCUGUGUUUUGCAGUCACAUUAAGAUCUGAAGGAAUUAGCCCCAGGAAAGCUCAGAGUUUAUUUCAGGGCUACUACUUCAGUCAACAGGCACAACCACUAGAUACACCCCACUUGGAUGUUUCCAAAUUUGGGAUGAGAUCUGGCUCUUCAAACCAAAACUGGGCCCUUCUUUCAAACAUACAAAAGCAGGCUUGUGUGAAAAUGGAAGUGCUGAUCAUGGGUGAGAAGGCUCAUAAAGAUUGUGUUGUGCUGUGGUAACUCCCAGGAGCUAUGAGCCAAGUGCCUCUUAACCCAGGGACUCUAUAAAGACAGGCUGUGAGGGGGGAUCCUGCUCCGGAAGGCUUUCUCUCUUUGACAAACUGACAUUUGAGCUGA